CCCUAAUUCUUUCUCUCGCUCGCCCUGCUCACCAUCACGGCAAAUUAUUGCGUCCGGUGUCCGGAUACGUCCGGACACCAAUCCAGACACGCCACGUCAGCAAAAUACACUGGGUCCCGAUGUAUUUGAGUGAUGUGACGCAUCCGGAUUGGUUGUCCGGAUGUCAGGUGACCGGAUGCAAUAAUUUGCCCACCAUCACACCGUCCCCCGUCACCACCAACUUUGGCAAUGUUACAGCUCCCACCGCCUUCCUACUUGUCUACGUUGUCGAGCAAACCGCCAUGCCCAAGCUCGAUUUCUCAGAAUGAUUUCCGAUAGCGAGGUAGUUAAGAUGUUGCCGAGGUUGCCGGGGCUGCUUGCAUUAACCAUCGAGGAGAAAUUUCGGCCCAACUUGGAGUUUUUGGUUGGGAGAUGUGGAGAAAAUUUAUAGAGUUGUUGUUUCCUCAGUACUUAAUGUUCAGUCUUGAGGGGAGAAUUAAGACGUGCCAAUGCGGAAUUCAAGAUAAAAAAUGUCUCAUUUGUGGUGAUGGUGAAUUCUGGAGCUGCUUCUUGAGAUGCGCUUGAAAGUCUAGGGGCGAGAGAUUGUAGCUAAGUCUGAUGAUAACUGCCCCUCAAAACGCCCGCAAGCUCCCAAGGGUUGGAGUUAUGGUCAUCAUUUUCAUCAUUCCGCAAGCUCCCAAGAGUUGGAGUUAUGGUCAUCAUUUUCAUCGUUGUCCGAGAACCUUAUAUCCUCCAUUAUUCCUUUCUGAUCUAUUGAGUUUUCACAUUUAUUUUCCUGUUUUAGCAAUAAGAUUGAUCUCAUGG